UAUAUUUCCACAGUGACCAACAAUCUAAUGGAAGAUCAGUGGUCCACCAUGCAAGAAGACUCUCUGGAAAGGAGCACAGGGAAUUCAAGAGAUAUUGCAGGCUAGAUGGCCGAAUAUACAGGAACAGGGUUGCACCUUGAUCCACUACCACAACAUUCCAAUUACCAGUCAGAAAGACAUGAGCAAUGUUCUCUUGGUGAAAGACCUCUACAAUGAAAACUAUAGAACAUUUAAGAAAUUGAAGACCUAAGAAAAUGGAAAGACCUUCCAUCUGUUCUUAGAUAGGCAGAUUUAAUACUGUAUAAAUGACCACAUUACCAAAAGAACCAUAAAGAUUGGAUAAAAUUCUCAUCAAAAUAUCA